GCUAGUGACGUUUCAAUCCAUGUUGUUUGAGGUGUAGAUGAGCCAAGUUCCUGUUUUUCAGGGAGAGUCCACUUGGUUAAGCUACAUUUCACAUGAUAUUUGGAUUUUACAGAGGC